GAUGAACGCUGGCGGCGUGCCUAAUACUUGCAAGUCGAGCGAACGGACGAGAAGCUUGCUUCUCUGAUGUUAGCGGCGGACGGGUGAGUAACACGUGGAUAACCUACCUAUAAGACUGGGAUAACUUCGGGAAACCGGAGCUAAUACCGGAUAAUAUUUUGAACCGCAUGGUUCAAAAGUGAAAGACGGUCUUGCUGUCACUUAUAGAUGUAUCCGCGCUGCAUUAGCUAGUUGGUAAGGUAACGGCUUACCAAGGCAACGAUGCAUAGCCGACCGGAGAGGGGGAUAGGCGACACUGGAACUGAGACACGGUCCAGACUACUAAGGGAGGCAGCAGUAGGGAAUCUUCCGCAAAGGGCGAAAGCAUGACGGAGCAACGCCGCGUGAGUGAUGAAGGUCUUCGGAUCGUAAAACUCUGUUAUUAGGGAAGAACAUAUGUGUAAGUAACUGUGCACAUCGUGACGGUACCUAAUCAGAAAGCCACGGCUAACUACGUG
rnacentral:rRNA from 1 species